rnacentral:rRNA from 1 species
GACGAACGCUGGCGGCGUGCUUAACACAUGCAAGUCGAGCGGAAAGGCCUGCUUUCCCUUGUGGAUUGCGGGUACUCGAGUGGCGAACGGGUGAGUAACACGUGAGUGAUCUGCCCCCAACUUGGGUAUAAGCCUGGGAAACUGGGUCUAAUUCCCGAUAGGACUGCAGGGUGGUGCCUGUGCUGGAAAACGAUUUUCUAGUGGUUGGGGAUGAGCUCGCGGCCUAUCAGCUUGUUGGUGGGGUAAUGGCCUACCAAGGCGGCGACGGGUAGCCGGCCUGAGAGGGUGGACGGCCACAUUGGGACUGAGAUACGGCCCAGACUCCUACGGGAGGCAGCAGUGGGGAAUAUUGCACAAUGGGCGGAAGCCUGAUGCAGCGACGCCGCGUGGGGGAUGACGGCCUUCGGGUUGUAAACUCCUUUCGACCGCGAGGAAGCCACCUGGUUGGAAGGGUGGUGACGGUAGUGGUAGAAGAAGCACCGGCUAACUACGUG